rnacentral:rRNA from 1 species
AUUGAACGCUGGCGGCAGGCCUAACACAUGCAAGUCGAGCGGAUGAAGGGAGCUUGCUCCUGGAUUCAGCGGCGGACGGGUGAGUAAUGCCUAGGAAUCUGCCUGGUAGUGGGGGAUAACGUCCGGAAACGGGCGCUAAUACCGCAUACGUCCUGAGGGAGAAAGUGGGGGAUCUUCGGACCUCACGCUAUCAGAUGAGCCUAGGUCGGAUUAGCUAGUUGGUGGGGUAAAGGCCUACCAAGGCGACGAUCCGUAACUGGUCUGAGAGGAUGAUCAGUCACACUGGGACUGAGACACGGUCCAGACUCCUAAGGGAGGCAGCAGUGGGGAAUAUUGGACAAUGGGCGAAAGCCUGAUCCAGCCAUGCCGCGUGUGUGAAGAAGGUCUUCGGAUUGUAAAGCACUUUAAGUUGGGAGGAAGGGCAGUAAGUUAAUACCUUGCUGUUUUGACGUUACCAACAGAAUAAGCACCGGCUAACUUCGUG